ACCUCCUACCACAGAUGUGGACAUAAUGUCUCUACAUGCAAAAAACCCCAAAAGAUCUGUGGAAGAAAAUCUAUAAACAAGUCUUUCCCACUAAGAGACCCUAGUGAGCAGAGAGAAAUGAAGGAUCCAGGCAAAGACCCACAGUACACUGAGCCUCAGAUUGAUGCAAUGAGAGCACAAAAAAACAGAAAUAGGCACAAGUCCGACGUUAACAUGAUCUUUGAAACUAUCAACUAUGAACUAUGUGCAGCGACACAAAUGGACAUUAUGGGACCAGAGAUGUUUUAUGGUGGAACAGAUUCAGCCUCACUAUUAGAAGCUGCUAAUCUUUUGCAUUCUACCCACCUUGUUCCAAUGGAAGACAGACAAAUGUUAUCAAAUGCUGUGUUACAUAGGGGAAGGUAAGAUCCAGAAACAACCGUAAUGUUGCCUCAUGAUUUAUCUAAUUGAAACUGGAGGUGGCCAUAGGGAUACCGGUGAGUCAUUCCUACAAUACAAUCCAUGUGUCGAUUACUUUUGAAAAGUAAAGCAUUCACAUAGUUAGGACAACAAGUAAAUGAAGGGAUAAUUAAAAACAAUUUUCAGUUGCUAAGCAGACUAAAUAGCAAACUAGGCAUGGAUCACUUGAAAUAUUGGACUUAUUGUGAGCAGUUUACUAAGUUGGUUCAAAGAAUUAUACUUCUGAAUAUUCUUCUUUUUCUCCCUUUUAAGUAUUUGUGCUGAAUGUAAGAUUGCUGAAAAACAUCAGUGUUAGCAAACAUUAGUUUUCCUAAGGAUUAGAGGCAUCAAAAAAUAUGUUGAGGAAGAGAAUUGUGGAACAUUGAGAAACAUUUCACAACUUCAGAUAGUUGUUUAUGAUGUUAGAUUGGAAGUGACUUGCGUAAAAGUACGCUUUUAGUGGAUAAAAUUCAACAGAAAAGUUUUUCAAACGACAGAACUGGCUGUUCUGAGUCUUUGGUCAAAGGAGUAUUUAUUUAUUUGGUUUUUUGAGGAUUUACUUACAAACCACCACCUGGAACUAACUGCAAAAUCAAUAUGAUUAACAUGCAACUUAUUUUGAGAAAUUAAUGAACUGGGAAAAAAGCUGAACGAACGAUGAUUUAUGCACAAAAUCAAACAAAGGGUUAGUGAUUAUAAGAUUUCUUCAAGGAUAAUGAUCAUAAAAAGGUGUUAGGUUAAAACAGAGAUCCAAUCAUGGAGCAGCGGUGUUUGACGUGGCUAUAAAACAAAGUCUCACACUGUCAGCAAACUAAGAGGUUUAUAUCAUAGGAGGGAGGAAUGAACUGCCUCCCUUUAGAAUUGGUUAUCUUCUGUUUUGAGAACUUCCAGGCGUUGUCUCUCUAAUGCCAAACAUCACAUUCCUUGGACAAAGCACAAAAUUGCAGACUCUAUUAAGUAUUCGCACCCCAAAUACAGAGGAAUAAGGGGUAAACACUUGGCAUAGAAGUUAAAACUUGUCUUUUAGAUAAGAGAAUGUGUGGAGGAACAAACCUUAACAGAGCUGUGAUCUCUGGUACUGGCUGCCAGCUUUUAACUGAAAGAAAACUUUUUUUUUUUAUAUUAGUAGAGAAGCAGUGGUUAAAUUAAGUUUGUAUCAUGGAGAUACAAUAUUAUUCAAACAUCCAAUGACACAGAAUGUAAAUAAACAAGAAAACUUUGAGUGUUGAAAGCUGACGUCUCCAGCUGAAAGCUUACAGAAACGAGUUUACCAUAGAAUAUCAGCUGAAAUCUGAUAAAUUAACAAAAUAGCAGAAACUGGGAUGCAUCAUCUCAAACAUGCAUCUCUCAUCUACAAAAACACCAUCUAAUAUCAAAAAAAGAAACGUUAUUUAACUGUGAGUGAGAGGACCAUUUGAAGUAAAAAAGUGACAAGGCUCAUGUCUUCAGUCGAAUAAGAUGGGAAACCUGAGCUCAUCGGGGAAGCCUGAAUAGCAUAUCUAAAUGUUAGGAUAUAUCUGUCUGAUCAAAGGGGGGUUAAGUCAGAAGUUUGUGAGAUCGAUUUAAGAAUAGAAUAACACAUGAGGUGAGGUCACACACGGUUUUAUAAAAUGACUAAUUUCUGAAUGUUAAUGAAAUGUGCACCAGAAAUAUCAUUUUCAGGCAAUGGAUCAAAUUGAAAACUGUUCAACUUAUUUUGACUUACUGUACAACAACACAGUAGUUAGCAAUGUCAAUCUAUUUCUUUUCAGGAUAAUGUCUGAGCAAUACAUAGUUUAGAACAAUAUCUGUGCUGAUAGGGUGAGGUAGAAUGGCACUAAGCAUGCUUCCGGGGGAAAAGGUGAUUGCUUGAACCAUCCUUGCUAACUUCUGUUUCUUUCUUUUGCAUGAAAACCUUGAGUGAAUAUAAUUGAUUAUCACUGCUAAAAGGAGCAGUUCAGAUUUCUCUAUCAGUACAGGUGAUGAGAGGGAACCAAAUUGCCCUACAGAACGUUACCCUUCGUUGAAGUGGAGGCUGGGUUCUCGUUAAGAGAGCUUUUAGAAGACUGUUCUUUUUGAAUUGAAAAUGGUUUGACCAUUUAUUCUAUUUCUUAAGAACCUCAUGUAUUGUAUAUUUGCUGCAGCACAAUUCUAAUCUAUAAGAUUUACAUUGUUGAAUUUGGUUUCAAAGUUUCAUUUCUGCUCAUAAUUAUUUUGUUUUGUGAGAUUUCUAAGUACUCGGGGCUGGAGUUUGAGCACUGCUGUGAAAGUCAUCACACCCCCGUUUCAUAUCAUCAUCGCAUUGGACUAUGAUAAAGGCGGACAUUGAGGAAAUACAGGAAAAAGGACAAUAAGGAAAUACAGAAAAGGUGAUGCUACCGAUGCAACGACACCCAAUUUACAUAUGACACUUCUGUUACGACUAUGAUCUGAACAAGGCCCCCAACGUCUAAUGCUUGGAUAACAUGUAUGAUGUAAUAACUAAGAGGAGAUUAGUAAGGGUUUAACUGCCAUUUUUGUUGAACAACGUUUUCUCCUGUUUCUGUUAAUUUAGGAAGGUAAGAUGAAUGUGUUUGGUUUAAAUUUCUUUUAUCAGGUAAGUUUUAACCAUAAAAGGCAGAUCUGUUUUGGUUGUUAUUUUGGCCUGGGUUGACCCUGAAGUUACAACAAUCUCCUUUUUACACAACUUAAGUUUUGAUACUAGAUAAACUAGUUGGUUUCAUAUUCUUUAAUUUUUUAGAGUUUUGUAUGGUUUAGAAGGGAAUAUGUGGAGCAGUUAAUCGGACGUGAAGGUGGGCACAAACAGGAAUCGGACUAUGGAGACAACAAGAAUACAAUUAUAUACGGACGAUGGAUGUUUAAUUAGACAUGUGGUAAUUUAAUGUCAUGGCUUAGCACGAUACUGGUCAGUAUUCUCUGUCUUCUCAGGAUGACACCAAUCCAGAGACUGUCUGUACAAGUAACCUUUUUGACCCCUUGGCCAGGGAUGUAUUCAACUCUCACCUCCGGGAGAGUUUGACCAGAUUCCGAGGGAUGUUGGAGACAUAGAGUCCGAGUGGACCAUG